rfam:Acholeplasma oculi genome assembly, chromosome: 1
GGCCCGUUGGAGAAACGGUUAACUCACAUGCCUUUCACGCAUGCAUUCAUGGGUUCAAAUCCCAUACGGGUCA